rnacentral:lncRNA from 1 species
ACGUAGGGCUGCUCGGGGUGAUGCUUGGCUGGCAUGAAAAUGAGCAGCAGACGCUGGGACAACUGGAUACCAGACAGUGAUGUGACUCCCAUGUACAGGAAAAUCCCAAAGAGCACGGCCAACGGGAUCCUGCGCAGCACAGCUCCCAUGACGAUAGACAGACCUAGAAGAGUAACACAGAGCUGCCUAUCCUGCUCAGGCAGACCCUGGCAAGGGAUGUGUUGAUCUGACCAAUCUGGGCCUCCCACAUAGAGAUGCAUCAGGACAAAGGGGAAGCAGGGAACCUAUCCCAGUGUGAGGUGACAGGUUGGAGACCUGGGGGAGAGCCAAGCUGAUGAGCCUGCAGAUUCAGGAGGGUCAAGCCCGGGAUGAUGAGGUUUUUAAAGCCGUCGGGCCCAAGAAAGCAAGUCUAUGGAGAGAGUCCGGUGCUCACCCACGAGGCUGGCAAUGAGCACCCCGGUGACUCGCUGCUCCCGCACCUCCUGGAUCUGGGGCUUGUCACCAGGUGCAAUGGCAGUACGCAUCACCGUCAACGCGUUGACAUGGGUGACAGAGCGGACAGUGGCGGCUGUGAGCCAGGGCAAGCCGAAGAGCCCACAGAGGCCACCCAAAGAGCCAAUCAACAGCAGGUCAAGAUGGAAGCCGGAACCCUUGAGUAGCCUCCGUGCCUUCUGGCUGACGAUGAGCCUGUGUGGGAUUGGAGGGGAAGGAGCUAGCUAGCAGGCAGACCUGCACUGCACCCAGCAUUCACCCAGGCUUGAGGGGAGGGAAAGACGACAGCGCUCCCCGGACCUGGCAGCUUCCUCUUUCACAUUCCCAAAUUAAAGUUCUCACACUCCAGUAAA